GACGAACGCUGGCGGCGUGCCUAAUACAUGCAAGUUGAGCGCUGAAGGUUGGUACUUGUACCAACUGGAUGAGCAGCGAACGGGUGAGUAACGCGUGGGGAAUCUGCCUUUGAGCGGGGGACAACAUUUGGAAACGAAUGCUAAUACCGCAUAAAAACUUUAAACACAAGUUUUAAGUUUGAAAGAUGCAAUUGCAUCACUCAAAGAUGAUCCCGCGUUGUAUUAGCUAGUUGGUGAGGUAAAGGCUCACCAAGGCGAUGAUACAUAGCCGACCUGAGAGGGUGAUCGGCCACAUUGGGACUGAGACACGGCCCAAACUCCUACGGGAGGCAGCAGUAGGGAAUCUUCGGCAAUGGACGAAAGUCUGACCGAGCAACGCCGCGUGAGUGAAGAAGGUUUUCAGAUCGUAAAACUCUGUUGGUAGAGAAGAACGUUGGUGGGAGUGGAAAGCUCAUCAAGUGACGGUAACUACCCAGAAAGGGACGGCUAACUACGUG
rnacentral:rRNA from 1 species